rnacentral:rRNA from 1 species
GAUGAACGCUGGCGGCGUGCCUAAUACAUGCAAGUCGAGCGAAUGGAUUAAGAGCUUGCUCUUAUGAAGUUAGCGGCGGACGGGUGAGUAACACGUGGGUAACCUGCCCAUAAGACUGGGAUAACUCCGGGAAACCGGGGCUAAUACCGGAUAACAUUUUGAACCGCAUGGUUCGAAAUUGAAAGGCGGCUUCGGCUGUCACUUAUGGGUGGACCCGCGUCGCAUUAGCUAGUUGGUGAGGUAACGGCUCACCAAGGCAACGAUGCGUAGCCGACCUGAGAGGGUGAUCGGUCACACUGGGACUGAGACACGGCCCAGACUCCUACGGGAGGCAGCAGUAGGGAAUCUUCCGCAAUGGACGAAAGUCUGACGGAGCAACGCCGCGUGAGUGAUGAAAGCUUUCGGGUCGUAAAACUCUGUUGUUAGGGAAGAACAAAUGCUAGUUGAAUAAGCUGGCACCUUGACGGUACCUAACCAGAAAGCCACGGCUAACUACGUGCCAGCCGCCGCCGUAA